UACAGAGGGGGCAAGCGUUGUUCGGAAUUACUGGGCGUAAAGGGCGCGUAGGCGGCCCGCUAAGUCGAACGUGAAAUCCCCGGGCUCAACCCGGGAACUGCGUCCGAUACUGGCAGGCUUGAAUCCGGGAGAGGGAUGCGGAAUUCCAGGUGUAGCGGUGAAAUGCGUAGAUAUCGGGAGGAACACCAGUGGCGAAGGCGGCGAUCUGGGAAGAUACUGACGCUGAGGUGCGAAAGCGUGGGGAGCAAACAGG
rnacentral:rRNA from 1 species